rnacentral:rRNA from 1 species
GUGACCGAGCGACGCCGCGUGUGGGAUGAAGGCCUUCGGGUUGUAAACCACUGUCAGUAGGGAAGAAUGCCCGGAUGGUGAAUCCGGGAGGGACGGUACCUGCAGAGGAAGCCACGGCUAACUCCGUGCCAGCAGCCGCGGUAAUACGGAGGUGGCAAGCGUUGUUCGGAAUUACUGGGCGUAAAGGGCGCGUAGGCGGAAUGGUCCGUCCGAUGUGAAAGUGCUACCGCUUAACGGAGCAAGGUCAUCGGAAACCGCCAUUCUUGAGACCGGGAGAGGUGAGUGGAAUUGCCAGUGUAGCGGUGGAAUGUGUAGAUACUGGCAAGAACACCGGUGGCGAAGGCGGCUCACUGGCCCGGUUCUGACGCUGAGGCGCGAAAGCGUGGGGAGCGAACAGGAUUAGAUACCCUGGUAGUCCACGCCCUAAACGGU